rnacentral:rRNA from 1 species
AUUGAACGCUGGCGGCAGGCUUAACACAUGCAAGUCGAGCGGGGGAAGGUAGCUUGCUACCGGACCUAGCGGCGGACGGGUGAGUAAUGCUUAGGAAUCUGCCUAUUAGUGGGGGACAACAUCUCGAAAGGGAUGCUAAUACCGCAUACGUCCUACGGGAGAAAGCAGGGGAUCUUCGGACCUUGCGCUAAUAGAUGAGCCUAAGUCGGAUUAGCUAGUUGGUGGGGUAAAGGCCUACCAAGGCGACGAUCUGUAGCGGGUCUGAGAGGAUGAUCCGCCACACUGGGACUGAGACACGGGCCAGACUCCUACGGGAGGCAGCAGUGGGGAAUAUUGGACAAUGGGGGGAACCCUGAUCCAGCCAUGCCGGGUGUGUGAAGAAGGCCUUAUGGUUGGAAAGCACUUUAAGCGAGGAGGAGGCUACUUUAGUUAAUACCUAGAGAUAGUGGACGUUACUCGCAGAAUAAGCACCGGCUAACUCUGUG